rnacentral:rRNA from 1 species
AGCAUAUCAAUAAGCGGAGGAAAAGAAACUAACAAGGAUUCCCCUAGUAACUGCGAGUGAAGCGGGAAAAGCUCAAAUUUAAAAUCUGGCGGUCUUUGGCCGUCCGAGUUGUAGUCUGGAGAAGUGCUUUCCGCGCUGGACCGUGUAUAAGUCUCUUGGAACAGAGCGUCAUAGAGGGUGAGAAUCCCGUCUUUGACACGGACUACCAGUGCUUUGUGAUGCGCUCUCGAAGAGUCGAGUUGUUUGGGAAUGCAGCUCAAAAUGGGUGGUAAAUUCCAUCUAAAGCUAAAUAUUGGCGAGAGACCGAUAGCGAACAAGUACCGUGAGGGAAAGAUGAAAAGCACUUUGGAAAGAGAGUUAAACAGUACGUGAAAUUGCUGAAAGGGAAACGCUUGAAGUCAGUCGCGUCUGCCGGAACUCAGCCUUGCUUUCGCUUGGUGCAUUUUCCGGUAGACGGGCCAGCAUCGAUUUUGACCGUCGGAUAAGGGCCAGGGAAAUGUGGCACCCUCGGGUGUGUUAUAGUCUCUGGUCGCAUACGACGGUUGGGAUCGAGGAACGCAGCGCGCCGCAAGGCAGGGGUUCGCCCACUUUCGCGCUUAGGAUGCUGGCGUAAUGGCUUUAAACGACCCGUCUUGAAACACGGACCAAGGAGUCUAACAUGCCUGCGAGUGUUUGGGUGGUAAACCCGAGCGCGUAAUGAAAGUGAAAGUUGAGACCUCUGUCGUGGAGGGCAUCGACGCCCGGACCUGACGUUCUCUGACGGAUCCGCGGUAGAGCAUGUAUGUUGGGACCCGAAAGAUGGUGAACUAUGCCUGAAUAGGGUGAAGCCAGAGGAAACUCUGGUGGAGGCUCGUAGCGAUUCUGACGUGCAAAUCGAUCGUCAAAUUUGGGUAUAGGGGCGAAAGACUAAUCGAACCAUCUAGUAGCUGGUUCCUGCCGAGUCCCC